CCUACGGGAGGCAGCAGUGGGGAAUAUUGCGCAAUGGGCGAAAGCCUGACGCAGCGACGCCGCGUGAGGGAUGAAGGUAUUCGGAUCGUAAAACUCUGUCAGCAGGGAAGAACGGUCACUGUGCUAUUCAGCAGUGAAUUGACGGUACCUGCAAAGGAAGCACCGGCUAACUCCGUGCCAGCAGCUGCGGUAAUACGGAGGGUGCGUGCGUUAAUCGGAAUUACUGGGCGUAAAGCGCUCGUAGGCGGUAUGUCAAGUCAAGGGUGAAAUCCCCGCGCUCAACGUGGGAACUGCCGUUGAAACUGGCAGACUGGGGUUGGUGAGAGGAUAGUGGAAUUCCAGGUGUAGGAGUGAAAUCCGUAGAUAUCUGGAGGAACAUCAGUGGCGAAGGCGACAAUCUGGCACAUAACUGACGCUGAGGAGCGAAAGCGUGGGUAGCGAACAGGAUUAGAUACCCUAGUAGUC
rnacentral:rRNA from 1 species